CACGUAGGGCGCGAGCGUUGUCCGGAAUUAUUGGGCGUAAAGGGCUCGUAGGCGGCCUGUUGCGUCCGCUGUGAAAGCCCGGGGCUUAACCCCGGGUCGGCAGUGGAUACGGGCAGGCUAGAGGUAGGUAGGGGAGACUGGAAUUCCUGGUGUAGCGGUGAAAUGCGCAGAUAUCAGGAGGAACACCGGUGGCGAAGGCGGGUCUCUGGGCCGUAACUGACGCUGAGGAGCGAAAGCGUGGGGAGCGAACAGG
rnacentral:rRNA from 1 species